rnacentral:lncRNA from 1 species
ACACAGUCGGUACUCUGUUCACACAUGCCCUCCGAGGCUCCUUCUAGAUGCUUCAGGGUCUAAGAUGCAAGAUCAGAAGUAGGAAGAGCUGAGAGCUCACCCUUCUCCCCGUCCCCUCCUGUCUUUCCUCCACUUCUUCCCCUCCUGUGUUCUUUUGUCCCACCCUGACUCGUGAUGGCAAGCACCCAGUUUCAGGCUGGAGUAAAAGAGCCUUAAAAAUCUAAUCGUGGGCUUCAGCAUGUGGAGAGACAGAGGGUUUGGAGCAUGCUCCAUAGGCUUCAGAACCCCUCCUCUCCCCUGCUUUCCUUCCCUCCCUCCCUCCCUCCCUCCCUCCCUCCCUCCCUCCCUCCCUCCCUCCCUCCCUCCUCCACCUCCUCCUAUCCUUUACCUUUCCCCCCAGUCCCAGGGAAAUCUUAGUGGGGUGAAAGGGAACAAGGCAGGGAAGGACUUUGCGGUGGGAUGGAGCUGGGAGGGUCAGGCUGGGGAAAUCACCACGCUGGGAAACUGGGGGUAUCACACAUGGCUGCUCCUUGAAUGUUCUGUGAGUGAGCAGCCCUGCUGUUCGGCCCAGAACCUGCUGGUCUGGGGAUUCUCAUCAGCGACAGACCUGCCCCACACUCUCCUGGUUCUGGUUGGACGAGACCACUGCUUGACUUGCCAUCACGUGCCUUCAUCCAGCACCUGGUGGAAGGAGAAGCAGACACCCACAACUAAUCACAGAACUGAACUGGAAUCCAGAUGCAGAGAAGGACGAGUGAAGAGCAAAGGGUUCCAGAUCAGGCUGGCGAAACCCACAGAAACAGCUGACCCUAACAUUGGGGAACUCUUGCUUCCCAGACUGAUAGCUGGGAUACCAGCAUGUGACUGAUCCAGACUCCAGGAACAUGGGUUUCAGUGAGGAAACCUUGGAAAUCUACAAGGCCUCCUGUAGUAGUUCAGUACUCAUCCCUAGCAUAGGUGUGGACUUUGGGAGCUCAUUCCACAUAGAGGAAUACUCCCGGAGCCAAGACACACGGGGGUGGGCCUAGGCCCUAUCCCAAAGGAUAUGAUAGAUUCUGAUGACACCCUAUGGAAGGCCUCACCAUCCAGGGGGCGCAGAAAGGAUAUGUGAUAGGUAGGGUUUUAGUUGGAGGGGUGGUAGGGGAGGAGGGAUGGGAGAGGGAACUGGGAUUGACAUGUAAAACAAUCUUGUUUCUAAUUCAAAUAAAAAAAUCUGCAAAAAAAUGGAG